rnacentral:sRNA from 1 species
CCAGCCUCACUAGGGUGCCACCCCAAAUUCCUGCUAAUAGAGUGCCCUAGGAAGCCAAUUUGUCACAAUUGGUACGAGAUGAAAGUCUAUUUGCCGUCUUUGUAUGUACUCCCUACAGACCGUUUUGAUACCUCAUAGCCACAUGAUACUUUACAUUUCUCUAGUGUUUGUACUUAAACGCUAGCACACCUUCCCACUCAGGAAACGGAGAGGAGAAAGGUGGAGAAUUCACCAAGUAACCCCAUGAUAAGAACAGCAGCACAGCUCUGUUACCAGGCUGCCUUUUACCUCUCCCCCCUCAGGCUUUCCAUCUGAUGGUCCCCUGGUGUGUGCCCUGGAACAGGAGCGAAGGCUCCGCGUCCCUCCGAAGCCACCUCCCCCUUUGCAGCCCCUUCUCCGAGGUGGGCAAGGGUUGGAAGCUGCUCUAAGCUGCCCCCGUUUUCUGCGGUAUCCACGGCAGCAUCUGAUCAGCAGCCUGGCAGAGGCAAGGCCAGAGGAACUGACUCCCCACGUGAUGGUGCUCCUGGCCCAGCACCUGGCCCGGCACCGGUUGCGGGAGCCCCAGCUUCUGGAAGCCAUUGCCCACUUCCUGGUGGUUCAGGAAACCCAGCUCAGCAGCAAGGUGGUACAGAAGUUGGUCCUGCCCUUUGGGCGGCUGAACUACCUGCCCCUGGAACAGCAGUUUAUGCCCUGCCUUGAGAGGAUCCUGGCUCGGGAAGCAGGGGUGGCACCCCUGGCUACAGUCAACAUCUUGAUGUCACUGUGCCAACUGCGGUGCCUGCCCUUCAGAGCCCUGCACUUUGUUUUUUCCCCUGGCUUCAUCAACUACAUCAGUGGCACCCCUCAUGCUCUGAUUGUGCGUCGCUACCUCUCCCUGCUGGACACGGCCGUGGAGCUGGAGCUCCCAGGAUACCGGGGUCCCCGCCUUCCCCGAAGGCAGCAAGUGCCCAUCUUUCCCCAGCCUCUCAUCACCGACCGUGCCCGCUGCAAGUACAGGUGGAUGGGGCAGCCUGGGGCAAGGGGAGGGGCCGGCCUGGGACCAGCAGAGUGGAAAAGCCAGAGGGACCAUGAAGCGCCAAAGCUAAGGAGCUCUCGGCCACCAUAAAACUGGGCCCUGAAGCAGCAGAGGGCUUUGCCCAGCGUGGUGGCACUAGACUGGGACAGACUAGGAUGAGGUGCCGGGCCCUUCCUGCUACUGGUGUCCUUUCUCCUCAGUCACAAGGACAUAGUAGCUGAGGGGUUGCGCCAGCUGCUGGGGGAGGAGAAAUACCGCCAGGACCUGACUGUGCCUCCAGGCUACUGCACAGGUGAGCAAGGGGCAGGCGGCAGGCCCAGGGAGACGGAGCCCUGGCUAAGGCCGCCGGCCCUGCUCCCCCUCCAGACUUCCUGCUGUGCGUCAGCAGCUCUGGUGCUGUGCUUCCCGUGAGGACCCAGGACCCCUUCCUGCCAUACCCACCAAGGUCCUGCCCACAGGGCCAGGCCGCCUCUAGCCCCACUACUCGAGACCCUGCCCAGAGGUAAGGGAGGCAGGGUGGGGGAGCCCUGGCCACCUUGCCCGCCAUGCCCUGAGCCACAUCCCUCCCCCUGCAGGGUGGUGCUGGUGUUGCGGGAACGCUGGCAUUUCUGCCGGGACGGCAGGGUGCUGCUGGGCUCGAGAGCCCUGAGGGAGCGGCACCUAGGCCUGAUGGGCUACCAGCUCCUGCCGGUGAGUGGCCCUGGCCUGGCCCGUGGCGUAUCCUCACUCCGGGCCUGCGGGUAACCUGCCGCCAUCUCCUCUCCCCACAGCUACCCUUCGAGGAACUGGAGUCCCAGAGAGGCCUGCCCCAGCUCAAGAGCUACCUGAGGCAGAAGCUCCAGGCCCUGGGCCUGCGCUGGGGGCCUGAAGGGGGCUGAGGGGAUGAUGUGGGGUUCAGGAUGGCCCCCCCAUGGGGGGUGGAUGAUUUGCACUUUGGUUCCCUAUGUUUUGAUUUCUCAUUAAAG